rnacentral:rRNA from 1 species
UACCGCGUACGUCGGCGAGAGCUCCGGCUCUUGUCGGGAAAGAUGGCCAAUCCUUGGAAGCUGUCACCGGAAGAUGAAUCCGCGGCCCAUCAGGUAGUYGGUGAGGUAACGGCUCACCAAGCCUAAGACGGGUAGCUGGUCUGAGAGGAUGAUCAGCCACACUGGGACUGCGACACGGCCCAGACUCCUACGGGAGGCAGCAGUGGGGAAUAUUGGGCAAUGGGCGAAAGCCUGACCCAGCCACGCCGCGUGAGUGAUGAAGGCCUUCGGGUUCGUAAAGCUCUGUGGGGAGGGACGAACAAGCAGGCACCAAACAAGUGCAGGCCCUGACGGUACCUCCUUAGCAAGCACCGGCUAACCAUGUGCCAGCAGCCGCGGUAAUACAUGGGGUGCAAACGUUGCUCGGAAUUAUUGGGCGUAAAGCGCGCGUAGGCGGUCGCUUAAGUCGGAUGUGAAAGCCCCUUCGGCUUAACUGAGGGAAGUGGCAUCCGAGACUGAAU